GUUUAUUCGCACAGACGCCUCCUGGUGGAUGGCUCGGCUAGGUAGCCGAUGAAGGGCGCGGCAAGCGGCGAUAUUCCGCGGGUAGGCGCAAGCAGCCUUUGAUCCGCGGGUCCCCGAAUGGGAAUCCUGUAGCGGGUUUAACCCGCUACGUCCCCAAAGGGACGGGAACCCCCCGAACGGAAACAUCUUAGUAGGGGGAGGAAGAGAAACCAAUUGGGAUCCCCUGAGUAGCGGCGAGCGAAAGGGGGAGAGCUCAAAUCGAAUCCUUACCAGAUGAUGGUAGGGGGAUGUGAGGUUAUGGAGUAAUCCAAAAUCCCUAAUCCAGCUAGCGGAAGUGGGCUGGAACGCCCCCCCUUAGAGGGUGAAAGGCCCGUACGCGAAAGCUGGAUGGGAUUGAUGAGGAUUACUCCAGAGUACCAUACCUUGGUUUUGGUAUGGGAAGUUGGGGGGCACCAACCUCCAAAGCUAAACACUCACCUAGACCGAUAGCGCACCAGUACCGUGAGGGAAAGCUGAAAAGCACCCCGGGAGGGGUGUGAAAAGAGCCUGAAACCAGGAGGCUACAGGCGGCAUGGGCUGAAAGAAAUGAGGAGCUCAGCUCUGAUCAGGCUCAUGCCUUACGUCUAGAAACACGGGCCAGGGAGUUCACGGUUGUGGCGAGUCUAAGGGGUUUAACCCCGAAGGCGUAGGAAACCCGAGUCCUCGCAGCCCAUACCUCUAUGCAAUAUGCAUGCUCUAAACCGGAUUCAUGAAGGUUUAGGGUAUGUGUAUUGCACAAGUAUGGGUGAGGAGGAGGGUCCUAAUAGGGCCUAAGCCACAACCGUGAGACCAGAAACCGAGCGAUCUAGGCCUGGGCAGGGCGAAGCUGGGCGAAAGCCCAGUGGAGGCCCGAAUAGGGGUGCUGACGUGCAAAUCGCUCCCCUGACCUGGGCCUAGGGGCAAUAGACCAAUCAAGCUCGGUGAUAGCUGGUUCCCCCCGAAGCAGGUCCCAGCCUGGCCUCCCCAGAGAUGCGCCAAGGUGUAGAGCACCAAUUGCGGGCUGAGGGUCGAAAGGCCCUCACCUGCAGUUGAACUCCGAAGCCUUGGCGAUCGAAGAAGGGGGGAGACGGGUUUCGCGGGAUAAGCCUGCGAGCCGAAAGGGGGACAACCCAAACCGGAGUUAAGGCCCCUAAGUGCCGGUUAAGUGUCAAGCCCAAAGGGCGUCACCGUCCUGAGACAGCCGGGAGGUAGGCUUAGAAGCAGUUAACCUCUAAGGAGUGCGUAACAGCUCACCGGCCGAGAGCGGUGGCCCCGAAAAUUGACGGGAUUUAAACCAACCACCGAGACCCUAGGGGGCAUCCUGAUGUGGGGUGCCAUCCGGUAGGGGGGCGCUGUAGCAGGGCAGAAGCCUGGGCGUGAGCUCAGGUGGACCUGCUACAGAUGCGAAUCCUGGCAGUAGUAACAGCGAAGCUGGGUGGAAAUCCCAGCCGCCGGAAGGGCCAGGGUUCCUCGGCAAUGCGUCGUCAGCCGAGGGUUAGCCGUUCCUAAGGGUGCUCUUCACCUGGGCACCCGAAAGGGAAAACGGUUAAUAUUCCGUUGCUGGGGGUUUACGUUUCGUGGCAACACUAAGCCACGCUCCAGACGGGUAGGGGUAGGCUGUGCAGGGCCGUCGCCCUGUUUAACUCGCGAAGCACACGGAGUGCCGUAAUGGCGAGAAGUGUGCGAAGCGAGGAAUAGCCUCCCGUAUGGGGGGUACAGCCGAUCCCCUGCCCCCGUGAAAAUGGAGCGUGGAAGGAUAACCCCCAAACGUACCUAGAACCGACACAGGUGUCCCUGGCUGAGAAGGCUAAGGCGUCUCCGGGUACCCCAGGCCAAGGAACUAGGCAAAUUGGCCCCGUGGCUUCGGUAUAAGGGGUGCCUAGGGAUCUGGUCUCAAGACUGGAUCCCUAGGUCGCAGUGACAAGGAGGUCCCGACUGUUUAAUAAAAACAUAGGUUCCCGCUAGCCCGAAAGGGUGAGUACGGGAGCUGAAUCCUGGCCACUGGCGGUACGCGAACCCCGGGUUCAACCGGGCUAAGCGCCGCUGAAGGCCGGGAGUAACUCUGACUCUCUUAAGGUAGCCAAAUGCCUUGUCGGGUAAGUUCCGACGUGCAUGAAUGGAUCAACGAGGGCCUCACUGUCUCGGCCUGGGGCCGGGUGAACCUGCAACCAAGUGCACAGUCUUGGGACCCCCGACGGGGCGAGAAGACCCCGUGGAGCUUUACUGCAGCCUCAGGUUGCGGUUUCAUUCCCGUUGCGUAGAGUAGACGGGAGUCAAUGAAGCAUGAUCUCCGGGUCAUGUGGAGACGAAAGUGAAACACCGUCCAACGGGUGUGAAACCGCUUAGCUGGGCGAAAGCCCAGCGACAGCCUGAGGUGGGCAGUUCGGCUGGGGCGGCACGUCCCCGACAAAGAAUCGGGGGCGUCCAAAGGUCGGCUCAGGUAGGUCAGAAACCUACCGUGGAGGACAAGGCCAAAAGCCGGCCUGACUGGUUCCCUAACUGCACGGGAACCAGGGGCGAAAGCCUGGCCUAGCGAACGCUCAUGCCCCCUUUGGUGGGGGCUGGGCAUGACGGAAAAGCUACCCCGGGAGUAACCGGCUCGUCGCGGGCGAGAGCCCACAUCGACCCCGCGGUUUGGUACCCAGACGUCGUCUCUCCCCAUCCUGGGGGCGCAGCUGCCUCCAAGGGUAGGGCUGCCCGCCCGUUAAAGGGGACCGUGAGAUGGGUUUAGACCGUCGUGAGACAGGUCGGUCUCUACCUGUCGGGGGUGUUGGCUAUUUGAGGCGAAGGCGUUACCAGUACGAGAGGAACGUAACGCCGCCGCCUCUGGUGAACCGGCUGUCCGAUAGGGCAAGCCGGGUAGCCACGCGGUAGGAGCUAAAGGCUGAAAGCAUCUAAGCCUGAAGCUCCCGCCGAGACUAAAUAGCCAAUCCCGCUGGCCAAAAGCUGGCGGGACGAGGCCUCCCGUAAAAGACGGGGUUGAUAGGGCGGGGGUGUAAGCACCGAGACCGAAAGGUCGAGGUGUUUAGCCCACCGCUACUAAUCGGCCGAGGCGAAUAAAC
rnacentral:rRNA from 1 species